ACAGAUUGGGCGUCUCAGGAAGGUUCAGUACAACCGAGGCCUGAACAUGCGUAUGAUCCAUUUGAAGCAGCCUAAAUAAAGGCGAGCGAAUGGGACGUCUCAGGAAGGUUCAGUACAAACGAGGCCUGAACGUUUAUUUGAAUAAAGGACGAGAUAAAAAUCUUAAUAACUGUAUUGACUCCUGAUUGAAUGUAAG